UCCCUUACCUGGGGGUGUCCUUACCUGGGGGGGCGUCCUUACCUGGGGGUGCCCUUACCUGGGGGUUCCCUUACCUGGGGGGGUGUCCUUACCUGGGGGUGCCUUUACCUGGGGGUGCCCUUACCUGGGGGGGUAUCCUUACCUGGGGAUGUCCUUACCUGGGGGUGCCCUUACCUGGGGGGUUCCCUUACCUGGGGGUGCCCUUACCUGGGGGUUCCCUUACCUGGGGGGCGUCCUUACCUGGGGGUGCCCUUACCUGGGGGUGCCCUUACCUGGGGUGUGAGGCCAGGCUGGCACGGGGGGUGGGUGCCCAGCGCUGGCCUCUUGUAGCCCCGCCGUGCCCGCGGGCACAUGCAAAACCCCAGGACCUGGCCAGAUUUGACUGUAAUUUGGAUGGUAGCAUUGCUUGAGGUGGAGAGCAGCAAAUAGCAACCUGAGGCUAUCUGGGCACGGUGCAGGGGGGCAAAGGGGUGGUGGUGUGGGGAGGGGUGGGUGUCUGUCCUUCUCCUGCUUGGCUGUGGACCCAAGCGGGGCCAGGAGGGAUUUGGGGCAUCCACAUGGCUGUGUGGAAAUGGCUCAUGUGGCUGGUCCCCUCUGAUUUGGGGAGCAGGACAAACCACCGUGUAUUAUCCCCACACCCCCACACACCCCCACACCCCCAACUCCCUUCCCCUCCCUGCCACCACAACAGCCACCCUGGGUGCUGGCUACCGGUGGGGACAUGCAUGGUGGGGGAAACUGAGGCACGGCAGGUGAUGGGGCACAAGCUGUGCCCAUAGUCGCCUCGAGCCCUUCGGCGAGCACUUGCCUCCAAGAAUCGGUGGCACAAGGCGACUUCCCCCUGCCCGUGGCCCGCUGUGACCCCCCCCUACCACCCCCCCAGACCUUCCAGCACCCAUCAGCGCCGCUUUGCACCGGGGCUGGCUGAACCCCAGGGAUGCCCCCCGCGCCCCAUCCUGCACCCCAGGCCAGGCUGCAGCCCCCGGUGCAGGGGUUGGGGGUGCCGGGGUUGGAGGAGGUGGGGAGCAGGAAAUCCAGCCCCGCACGGACACAGCUCAAAUCCAGCCAUGCCCCGGCACAGUUCGGCUGCUGCACGGGCUGCCUCAUCUCGGCUUCUCCGCAGAGCAUCUCCCCGGAAAAAAUAACGAGGCACGGGAGGAGGGCAGCUGGAAGAGCGUGUGACUCCUUUUCAUCCCAGGGUUGCUGCCCAGCGACUUGCAUCCCCAUCCUUCGCACUGUCCCCACAUUAUUUAAGUGGGACACGGGAGCAGAGCAACUCACUGCAUUGUGAAAGAAGUUGCAAAGAUGCUUUGCCCAUGGACACCUGAAAAACAGAUACAGAUUCUUAAUCCAUUUUCUCAUCGGGACACACCUGCCCCCCG